rnacentral:lncRNA from 12 species
AUGGACCCACGGCUCCUGCAGCCCCCCGGUGCCCUCCCAGCCCGGCUGCGGUGCCCUCCCCCGAGCAGAAAACCCCUCCGGCUCCUGCCGGCACAGCCCUGGCGCCGGGAUCUCGUUGCUCGCACGGCAGAGCGCCAAGCGCUCCGGCCGGGAGCUGCAGGUGUUGGGCUGGCGGCAGCACCUCCCACUGCUCGGGGAGCUGCUCCGGUUUCCAGAAACAAGAUCUCCAGGGAGGCUGCUGGCCCAAGCGCCAACUGGCAGACGUGGCAAGGUGGGGACGGCCCGGCGGCGAGGUGCUGCUCUGCUGCAGCGCGACCUGCCCGCCGCAGGAACAUCCCCUUUCGAGCAUCCCAAAGGACCCUGGGGGACAGGAAUGAGUACGGGCAGUUUGAUGUUGCUCCAGCCAGCUGGUCCCCAGCAUCCUCCUGCUGGGACUGGCUCUGUGGGUGCUCCAGAGAAGGGAACAGGGACAAGGUGCCCGCUGCAUUUCCUCACAAUAGGGUCAGGAACAGGGCCCCAUGUGUCCUGGAAGGGCAGGAGGGGCCUCAGGCAGAUGGAAGUGUCUUUGCCCAAAUGCUGAGUUCUUGCCAUGUGCAGGAAACUCCUUCCUGCACUCACCCACCCUCUCCAAGGCAAACCCAAGGUGGAAUUAGAGGGAGGAGCAGGGUAAGAUCUGGGAUCAGCAUUGCUGCCCUGGGUCCUACGCCCUCUCCUAACCCACAGCCUCCUCCUUGGCAUGGCAGAGGGACAGGGUGACACUGUCCUGAGCCACCUCCCUGCCUCCCAGAUGCCGAAGCUACGUCACUGUGAGGUGCAGUGGGGAUCUCCUGGAUUAUCAGAAGCAGGACCAGCCUGCCCUGUGCUCCAUAAAGGGGUCUGAGCCCAGGGCAGUGCUGAGUGGUGAGACAGCACAGCUGGGGCUGUGGGAGCCUCGGGAAUUGCCUCCUAAUCCCCUUCCCCUUUCCCACCUGGCUGUGCCCAUGUGACAAGCCCCAGUGCAUU